rnacentral:rRNA from 2 species
UUCCGGUUGAUCCUGCCGGACCUGACUGCUAUCGGAUUGAUACUAAGCCAUGCGAGUCAUUGUAGCAAUACAAGGCAUACGGCUCAGUAACGCGUAGUCAACCUACCCUAUGGACGGAAAUAACCUCGGGAAACUGAGAAUAAUAUCCGAUAGAACAUUAUGCCUGGAAUGGUUUAUGUUCCAAAUGAUUUAUCGCCGUAGGAUGGGACUGCGGCCUAUCAGUUUGUUGGUGAGGUAAUGGCCCACCAAGACUAUUACAGGUACGGGCUCUGAGAGGAGUAGCCCGGAGAUGGGUACUGAGACACGGACCCAGGCCCUAUGGGGCGCAGCAGGCGAGAAAACUUUGCAAUGUGCGAAAGCACGACAAGGUUAAUCCGAGUGAUUUCUGCUAAAGAAAUCUUUUGUUAGUCCUAGAAACACUAACGAAUAAGGGGUGGGCAAGUUCUGGUGUCAGCCGCCGCGGUAAAACCAGCACCUCAAGUGGUCAGGAUGAUUAUUGGGCCUAAAGCAUCCGUAGCCGGUUCUGUAAGUCCUCGGUUAAAUCUGUACGCUUAACGUACAGGCUGCCGGGAAUACUGCAUAGCUAGGGAGUGGGAGAGGUAGACGGUACUCGGUAGGAAGGGGUAAAAUCCUUUGAUCUAUUGAUGACCACCUGUGGCGAAGGCGGUCUACCAGAACACGUCCGACGGUGAGGGAUGAAAGCUGGGGGAGCAAACCGGAUUAGAUACCCGGGUAGUCCCAGCUGUAAACUAUGCAAACUCAGUGAUGCAUUGGCUUGUGGCCAAUGCAGUGCUGCAGGGAAGCCGUUAAGUUUGCCGCCUGGGAAGUACGUACGCAAGUAUGAAACUUAAAGGAAUUGGCGGGGGAGCACCACAA